rnacentral:rRNA from 1 species
CGCUGGCGGCGUGCUUAACACAUGCAAGUCGAGCGGAAAGGCCCUUCGGGGUACUCGAGCGGCGAACGGGUGAGUAACACGUGAGUAACCUGCCCCAAACUUUGGGAUAACCCUCGGAAACGGGGGCUAAUACCGAAUAUUACUUCUGGUCGCAUGGCUGGUGGUGGAAAGUUUUUCGGUUUGGGAUGGACUCGCGGCCUAUCAGCUUGUUGGUGGGGUAAUGGCCUACCAAGGCGAGGACGGGUAGCCGGCCUGAGAGGGCGACCGGCCACACUGGGACUGAGACACGGCCCAGACUCCUACGGGAGGCAGCAGUGGGGAAUAUUGCACAAUGGGCGGAAGCCUGAUGCAGCGACGCCGCGUGAGGGAUGACGGCCUUCGGGUUGUAAACCUCUUUCAGCAGGGACGAAGCGCAAGUGACGGUACCUGCAGAAGAAGCGCCGGCCAACUACGUGCCAGCAGCCGCGGUAAGACGUAGGGCGCGAGCGUUGUCCGGAUUUAUUGGGCGUAAAGAGCUCGUAGGCGGCUUGUCGCGUCGACUGUGAAAACUUGGNGCUCAACCCCAAGCUUGCAGUCGAUACGGGCAGGCUAGAGUUCGGUAGGGGAGACUGGAAUUCCUGGUGUAGCGGUGAAAUGCGCAGAUAUCAGGAGGAACACCGAUGGCGAAGGCAGGUCUCUGGGCCGAUACUGACGCUGAGGA